rnacentral:rRNA from 1 species
GCGCGCGAGGCGGUUUCUUAAGUCUGAUGUGAAAGCCCCCGGCUCAACCGGGGAGGGUCAUUGGAAACUGGGGAACUUGAGUGCAGAAGAGGAGAGUGGAAUUCCACGUGUAGCGGUGAAAUGCGUAGAGAUGUGGAGGAACACCAGUGGCGCGACUCUCUGGUCUGAGCGUGGGGAGAACAGGAUUAGAUACCCUGGUAGUCCACGCCGUAAACGAUGAGUGCUAAGUGUUAGAGGGUUUCCGCCCUUUAGUGCUGCAGCAAACGCAUUAAGCACUCCGCCUGGGGAGUACGGUCGCAAGACUGAAACUCAAAGGAAUUGACGGGGGCCCGCACAAGCGGUGGAGCAUGUGGUUUAAUUCGAAGCAACGCGAAGAACCUUACCAGGUCUUGACAUCCUCUGACAACCCUAGAGAGGGGGCAGAGUGACAGGUGGUGCAUGGUUGUCGUCAGCUCGUGUCGUGAGAUGUUGGGUUAAGUCCCGCAACGAGCGCAACCCUUGAUCUUAGUUGCCAGCAUUCUUGGGCACUCUAAGGUGAUGCCGGUGACAAACCGGAGGAAGGUGGGGAUGACGUCAAAUCAUCAUGCCCCUUAUGACCUGGGCUACACACGUGCUACAAUGGGCAGAACAAAGGGCAGCGAAGCCGCGAGGCUAAGCCAAUCCCACAAAUCUGUUCUCAGUUCGGAUCGCAGUCUGCAACUCGACUGCGUGAAGCUGGAAUCGCUAGUAAUCGCGGAUCAGCAUGCCGCGGUGAAUACUCCCGGGCCUACCGCCCGUCACACCACGAGAGUUUGUAACAC